rnacentral:rRNA from 1 species
CCUACGGGUGGCAGCAGUGGGGAAUAUUGGGCAAUGGGCGAAAGCCUGACCCAGCAACGCCGCGUGAAGGAAGAAGGCUUUCGGGUUGUAAACUUCUUUUGACAGGGAAGAGCAGAAGACGGUACCUGUCGAAUAAGCCACGGCUAACUACGGGCCAGCAGCCGCGGUAAUACGUAGGUGGCAAGCGUUGUCCGGAUUUACUGGGUGUAAAGGGCGUGUAGCCGGGGUCACACGGCAGAUGUGAAAUCCGGGGGCUCAACCCCCGAACUGCAUUUGAAACUGGUGGUCUCGAGGAUGGGAGCGGCAGGCGGAAUUGCUAGAGUAGCGGUGAAAUGCGUAGAUAUUAGGAGGAACACCAGUGGCGAAGGAGG